rnacentral:rRNA from 1 species
UACGUAGGGGGCAAGCGUUGGUCCGGAUUUAUUGGGCGUAAAGAGCGUGUAGGCGGCUUUACAGGUCCGUUGUGAAAACUCGAGGCUCAACCUCGAGACGCCGGUGGAAACCGUAAGGCUAGAGUCCGGAAGAGGAGAGUGGAAUUCCUGGUGUAGCGGUGAAAUGCGCAGAUAUCAGGAGGAACACCCGUGGCGAAAGCGGCUCUCUGGGACGGUACUGACGCUGAGACGCGAAAGCGUGGGGAGCAAACAGG